UACGUAGGUGACAAGCGUUGUCCGGAUUUACUGGGCGUAAAGAGCGCGCAGGCGGUCGUUCAAGUCGCGUGUGAAAGCCCCCGGCUCAACUGGGGAGGGUCACGCGAUACUGAUCGACUCGAAGGCAGGAGAGGGUAGUGGAAUUCCCGGUGUAGUGGUGAAAUGCGUAGAUAUCGGGAGGAACACCAGUGGCGAAGGCGACUACCUGGCCUGUUUCUUGACGCUGAGGCGCGAAAGCUAGGGGAGCAAACGGG
rnacentral:rRNA from 1 species